rnacentral:rRNA from 1 species
GACGAACGCUGGCGGCAUGCCUAAUACAUGCAAGUCGAGCGAACAGAUGAAGUGCUUGCACUUCUGACGUUAGCGGCGAACAGGUGAGUAACACGUAAGGAAUCUACCUAUAAGCGGGGGAUAACAUUCGGAAACGGGUGCUAAUACCGCAUAAUAUCUUCUUCCGCAUGGAAGAAGAUUGAAAGACGGCUCUGCUGUCACUUAUAGAUGACCUUGCGGUGCAUUAGUUAGUUGGUGGGGUAACGGCCUACCAAGACGAUGAUGCAUAGCCGACCUGAGAGGGUGAUCGGCCACAUUGGGACUGAGGCACGGCCCAAACUCCUACGGGAGGCAGCAGUAGGGAAUCUUCCGCAAUGGGCGAAAGCCUGACGGAGCAAUGCCGCGUGAGUGAAGAAGGCCUUCGGGUCGUAAAACUCUGUUAUAAGAGAAGAACAAAUUGUAGAGUAACUGCUACAGUCUUGACGGUAUCUUAUCAGAAAGCCACGGCUAACUACGUGCCAGCAGCCGCGGUAA